rnacentral:rRNA from 1 species
GACGAACGCUGGCGGCGUGCUUAACACAUGCAAGUCGAACGGAAAGGCUCUGCUUUUUUAGGUUGCUCGAGUGGCGAACGUGUGUGUAACACGUGAGUAACCUUCCCUUGACUUUGGGAUAACUUCAGGAAACUGGUGCUAAUACCGGAUAGGAGCUCCUGCUGCAUGGUGGGGGUUGGAUAGUUUCGGCGGUUGGGGAUGGACUCGCGGCUUAUCAGCUUGUUGGUGGGGUAGUGGCUUACCAAGGCUUUGACGGGUAGCCGGCCUGAGAGGGUUACCGGCCACAUUGGGACGGAGAUACGGCACAGACUACUACGGGAGGCAGGAGUGGGGAAUAGUGCACAAUGGGAGGAAGCAUGAUGCAGCAAAGCCGCGUGGGGGAUGAGGGCCUUCGGGUUGUAAACCGAUUUCGCAUGUGAAGAAGAGUGAGUGACGGUAAUGGGUAAAGAAGCACCGGCUAACUACGUG